GACGGAGGAUGCAAGUGUUAUCCGGAAUCACUGGGCGUAAAGCGUCUGUAGGUGGUUGAACAAGUCAACUGUUAAAUCUUGAGGCUCAACUUCAAAAUCGCAGUCGAAACUGUUUGACUAGAGUAUAGUAGGGGUAAAGGGAAUUUCCAGUGGAGCGGUGAAAUGCGUAGAUAUUGGAAAGAACACCGAUGGCGAAGGCACUUUACUGGGCUAUUACUGACACUCAGAGACGAAAGCUAGGGUAGCAAAUGGGAUUAGAUACCCCAGUAGUCCUAGCCGUAAACAAUGGAUACUAGAUGUUGAACAGAUCGACCUGUGCAGUAUCAAAGCUAACGCGUUAAGUAUCCCGC
rnacentral:rRNA from 1 species